GUCUCGGUGGCCGAGAGGCAAGGUACCCGGCUGCAACCCGGAGCACGGCGGUUCGAGUCCGCCCCGAGACUCCA
rnacentral:tRNA from 1 species